GAUGAACGCUGGCGGCGUGCCUAAUACAUGCAAGUCGAGCGAACAGACGAGGAGCUUGCUCCUCUGCCGUUAGCGGCGGACGGGUGAGUAACACGUGGAUAACCUACUUCUAUGACUGGGAUAACUUCGGGAAACCGGAGCUAAUACUGCCUCAUAUAUUGUACCGCAUGGUUCAAUAGAGAAAGAGGGCUUUGCUGUCUCUUAUAGAUGGUUCCGUGCCGCCUGAGUUAGUGGGUAAGGGAACAGCAUACCAAGGCACCGUAGCGGAGCCGACCUGAGAGUGUGCUCGGACACUCGGAAACAGAGACACGGUCGAGACUCCUAGGGGGCGCAGCAGGAGAGUAUCGGCCGAAGUGGGAAAGCCUGACGGAGCAACGCCGCGUGAGUGAUGAAGGUCUUCGGAUCGUAAAGCUCUGUUAUUAGGGAAGAACAAAUGCGUAAGUAUCUAUGCACGUCUUGACGGUACCUAAUCAGAAAGCAACGGCUAACUACGUG
rnacentral:rRNA from 1 species